CCUUGGAUAGAGUCGAGAGAAGAAGGAUUCAUGUAGCCAACCCCAUUUGAUGGGAAUUGAGGCGAGGCUUGGUUUGGUUUGGUUAGGAGUAAAGGGGAAUUCAUAGUAUGUAAUUUUAGUAGAACAAGAAAUACAUAAGAGGAAGUAGCAAAGACCGUAGGCCAGAGGUACAAAAAAAGUGAAAGAACAAGUCACUGAACACAAAAACAAGUCACAAACUGGACAUAGAAUGUAUAUGAACGGAUAAAAAAUUUCAAAAGUGGACCCAACUACAAACCUCAUAAAAUCUUUUCCAUUCAUGUGCAUUAUGUGUUCAUUUACGUGUUUGAUUUCUAUAAUGAAAGUGAAAAUUUUAGCUAUCUACAGACUACAGUCAAUUAAACCUAAGGAUAGAUUGGUGAUGAUGUAAUUCAAAGAAUUAAAGAAGGAUGAAAUAAGCAGAGGAGUGUUUUUUGAUGUAUUAUUUAAUGGGCGUGCACCUAUGAAACUUGGAGGAAACCAUUCUACAAGAAGAGUAUAAGACUAGCAACGUGGAGCAAAAUGUUAGGCAACUAAGAACCAGCAUGUUCAUAAACUGUGCUAGGCUGAAAUACAGUUAAGAUGGAUGGUAAAAAUAAGCAAGGAUAAAAUUAAGAAUUCGCAAGUUUGUGAGAUGGUAGAAUUGGCAUUCAUUGGAAACAAAAUCAAAGCAAAUCGAUUGAGACGGUUUGGCCAUGUGCAAUGAAAAAAAUAACUACAUCAGCAAAUACAA